GAGUGAACGCUGGCGGUAGGCCUAACACAUGCAAGUCGAACGGCAGCACAGUAAGAGCUUGCUCUUACGGGUGGCGAGUGGCGGACGGGUGAGGAAUACAUCGGAAUCUACUUUUUCGUGGGGGAUAACGUAGGGAAACUUACGCUAAUACCGCAUACGACCUACGGGUGAAAGCAGGGGAUCUUCGGACCUUGCGCGAUUGAAUGAGCCGAUGUCGGAUUAGCUAGUUGGCGGGGUAAGGGCCCACCAAGGCGACGAUCCGUAGCUGGUCUGAGAGGAUGAUCAGCCACACUGGAACUGAGACACGGUCCAGACUCCUACGGGAGGCAGCAGUGGGGAAUAUUGGACAAUGGGCGCAAGCCUGAUCCAGCCAUACCGCGUGGGUGAAGAAGGCCUUCGGGUUGUAAAGCCCUUUUGUUGGGAAAGAAAAGCAGCAGGUUAAUACCCCGCUGUUCUGACGGUACCCAAAGAAUAAGCACCGGCUAACUUCGUG
rnacentral:rRNA from 1 species